rnacentral:rRNA from 1 species
UACGUAGGGGGCAAGCGUUGUCCGGAAUUAUUGGGCGUAAAGAGCGCGUAGGCGGUCCGGUAAGUCGGUUGUGAAAGUCGGGGGCUCAACCCUCGAAUGCCGGUGGAUACUGUCGGGCUAGAGUACGGAAGAGGCAAGUGGAAUUCCUGGUGUAGCGGUGGAAUGCGCAGAUAUCAGGAGGAACACCUAUAGCGAAGGCAGCUUGCUGGGACGUUACUGACGCUAAGGCGCGAAAGCGUGGGGAGCGAACAGG